CCCGCUGAACUUAAGCAUAUCAGUAAGCGGAGGAAAAGAAACCAACCGGGAUCCCCCUAGUAACGGCGAGUGAAGAGGGGUCAGCCCAGCGCUUAAUCACUGCGUCCCCGUGACAAUGUGAGGUGUGGCGUAUGGACGGAUGUAGCUGCUUUGCGACGGCGACCGACUUCCUUUUGGAACGAGGACUCACAGAGGGUUAUAGGCCCGUAGAGUUGCCCGAACAUCGUGGUAUUGCGUCCGGCCUGGAGUCGAGUUGCUUGGGAACGCAGCUCUAAUUGGGUGGUACACUUCAUCCAAGGCUAAAUACGGCCACGAGACCGAUAGCAAACCAGUACCGUGAGGGGAAGUUGAAAACAACUCUGGAGAGAGAGUUAAAAGAGCGUGAAACCGGUGGGGUGGAAACGGAUGGAGCCGACGAAUAUGGCCUGCUCUAGUGGUGUGAAACUGGCUCGUCCGGUGGAUCGCUGCGAUUGUGUGGGUGCAGUGCGCUGAGGUGCGUGGGGUUGUCUGGUUUAAUGGUUGGAUACAUAGCGGACUUCACUCUCGAGUGUUGUUGCUUUCCUUCCGGCGAACUGUGGUGGCUGCGUUUAGUUGUGAGUGUGUGAUAAUGGUCUCUCGUUUGUUGCUCUCGAUGGACGCUUGCGUUCGUUUUUUGCUUCACUCGUAAGGCUGCGUUUGCACCUUGCUCUACUCGGUGUCAGAGUCGGUCACCCAUCCGACCCGUCUUGAAACACGG
rnacentral:rRNA from 1 species